AGAAAAAAAAAUAAAAAAAACAAAACUUCUCACUUUGAAAGAUUCAGGUUUCAUGCUAGUAAGGUUAUAUAUUGGCCUACCUAGCUAAACUAUAUUAGCCUAUAUGAAGUGGGAAUAUGUUGAUUUAAAGAGAUUCUGAAAAAUUGCAUGAGAUAUUAGAGAUCUAUGGCACAUGGAAGCUGUUUUGGAGUAAGGACCCAAGAUGUGCAAGUGAUUGUGAUCUUCCAUUGGUAGUUGGUUGAUGUAUUUAUGUAACACAUCUUGACAUUUAAUUUUCCUAGGAAUAUUAUUGCCUCCUUCUUUCAACCUUUUCCCACAUAAGAAAAUAUACGCUGAUGUCUUGGAUUAACAUGUUCUGUGUCCUCCAUUAGGCUAUUUGAAAGAAAAACAAUAAAUGAAGGAACAACCGUAAUAGUUUUAUAUAAUUAUCUUCAAUGAUAUAUUAGAUAGUUUUACGUUUCAAAAUAACAAUUGUAUUUCAUCA
rnacentral:lncRNA from 1 species